rnacentral:rRNA from 1 species
GCAUUAGCUAGUUGGUGAGGUAACGGCUCACCAAGGCCACGAUGCAUAGCCGACCUGAGAGGGUGAUCGGCCACAUUGGGACUGAGACACGGCCCAAACUCCUACGGGAGGCAGCAGUAGGGAAUCUUCGGCAAUGGACGAAAGUCUGACCGAGCAACGCCGCGUGAGUGAAGAAGGUUUUCGGAUCGUAAAACUCUGUUGUUAGAGAAGAACAAGGAUGAGAGUAACUGUUCAUCCCUUGACGGUAUCUAACCAGAAAGCCACGGCUAACUACGUGCCAGCAGCCGCGGUAAUACGU